GUGAGGAAUAUUGCGCAAUGGGCGAAAGCCUGACGCAGCGACGCCGCGUGGAGGAUGAAGGUCUUCGGAUUGUAAACUUCUGUUAAGUGGGAAGAAAAAGCUGUUUUUAAUAGAAGCGGCUAAUGACGGUACCAUUAAAGAAAGCACCGGCUAAACUCGUGCCAGCAGCCGCGGUAAUACGAGUGGUGCAAGCGUUAUUCGGAAUCAUUGGGCGUACAGGGUGCGUAGGCGGUAUGUUAAGUCUGUUGUUAAAGACUCCGGCCUAACCGGAGACAGGCAGCGGAAACUGGCGUACUAGAGGGUGGAAGAGAGAAGUGGAAUUCUCGGUGUAGCGGUAAAAUGCGUAGAUAUCGAGAGGAACACCGAUGGCGAAGGCAGCUUCUUGGUCCAUUCCUGACGCUGAUGCACGAAAGCGUGGGGAGCAAACAGGAUUAGAAACCCUUGUAGUCC
rnacentral:rRNA from 1 species